UUUUUUUUCAAAUUAUGAUUUUAUAUUACAUAUAAAGUAUACACACAGGUUAUUGGAUACAAAAAGACAGACACUUCAUACUUCAUCAAGCUUCAUGUAUAUGGAGGUGUAAAAGGGUGGGUACGAGAAAAGUUAUUCAUUUGGAGAUAGACAUUUAUUUGGCCUAUUGGCAAUAUAGAUGCAGAGGAAAUAUUUGAGGAGGUAU